UUAUUUGAGAGUUUGAUCCUGGCUCAGGAUGAACGCUGGCGGCGUGCCUAACACAUGCAAGUUGAGCGAUUUAUUUCGGUAAAGAGCGGCGGACGG
rnacentral:rRNA from 1 species